UAUCAUCUGUUUCUUAAAUAUUUAUUGAAUUUGACUUUUAAGUGAAAAGGCUUAAAUAAACCAAAAAGACGAUAAGACCCUAUAAAUCUUUACAAGAAAUAUAUUUUAUGUUUUAGCUUAUAAGURUAUAAGAAAUAAAAAUAUAAGUUUGUUGCGCUGGGGCGGCGUAGAUAUAUAAAUAAACUGUCUAUGAUUUAAAUACAAUAAUUAUUGUUUAAUACAGAUUGAUCCUUAAAUAGAUUAAAAGAUUAAGAUACUUUAGGGAUAACAGCGUUAUUUUUUCUGAGAGUUCUUAUCGAAGAAAAAGUUUGCGACCUCGAUGUUGAAUUAAAGUUUCUUUAUGGUGCAGCCGCUAUAAGAGAGAGUCUGUUCGACUUUUAAUACUUUA
rnacentral:rRNA from 1 species